UGCCUGAUUUCUGUAAAAGGGUUGGGUGAUUUACUUGGGGUUAAUGAAACAGAGCUGAACUUGCUGACCAAGACCUUGAAAAAUGGAAAGAAUAUUAUGUNNNNNUGCAGCCAAAAAAAAGGGUGAUGCAACAAGCCAUCCCAGUAACACAUGGGCAAUGCUUAACAAGACCUCAUGAGAAGCUUGGCCUGUCAACACCUUCUUCAAAGCAUCGGAUGUCAAAGGAAAAU
rnacentral:misc_RNA from 1 species